GUGAGCAUAGCUCACUGGUAGAGCAUUUGAUUAACAUGCACAAGAUCCUGGGUUCAAUCCCCAGGAACACA
rnacentral:tRNA from 1 species